ensembl:lncRNA
CAGACCCUGCUGGAAAGCCCUAUGACAUAACAGUGUGCCAGAAAGCAGAGUUGAGUGCAGGCCCCUGGAAGAGCAGCAGAGCAAGGCUGAUGUAGGGAAGACAACAGCUGGCAUAAAGGCAGACCUGACAGAAAAGCGGGCUCGAUGCCAGCGCCGCGACCACGAUUCGAGCUGCACCGCGCGGCAGCCCUGUCUACACACAGGUGGACAAGACGCAGUAACUGCAGGCCACGCUGACGAGUAGGACAGAUGACAACAGCAGCUCCAGACUGCCCUACCACGAGCACCUGUCCUAACACCUGAGUACUUGGAACCUCUGCUGCUCUCUGCCUCCAUGACACCUUCCUUCCCCAGGAGCCUCUUCACUGCCUACUACGUCCCCCACUGCAUCUCCGGCCCGUUAGUGCCCCCCCACUGCACAUCCACAGCCCUCUGCACGUAGAGUCCCUGCAGAGGUGUCUGACGUGACCYGAGCCAGGCAGAUCGAUGGGAGCCCCUGGUCGCUGCUGGCACCGGCCCGAGUGACAGGGAAAGAAAGAGAAGGAUGGUGAGCUGGACAGAGGGACAAGAGGCAGAACCGGAUGGAUCUGGUCAGCCCAGAACAGCUCUCGCCACACUCCAACCCCACUCGCCUGCCGAGCACGCAGAGCUCUCUGUGCACUGCUGUGCCCAAAGUCCACUUGUGGGCCUGCUUGCCUACAGCUCCAGGGUGCCUGCGUUUGCCAGAGCGAGGGUGUGCGCACAGGUCCAGACUGGGGAGGAACCUUGUGUUCAGUGACGCUCCUAGAUUCCUGUUACGCUCGGAUGCUGGCCUCACAGGUGAUGACCAAAAUCAACAACUGGAUCGCUAGGUCUAGCUGUUUCUCCAAGGCUUUCAGGGUGAUUGACGUAACCGCUUCUCUUCACAUUACUCAAAGCCACGUUCAUCUACUACCUAAGACUAAACUGUUUCUACUUUAAGAGAGGACUGCUGUUUGUUGAAACUUUACACAUAGCCCAUCACCCGCUAUGCAUCAUCUCUAGUCCCUUCUGCUUUCACAACACUUUUGGUAAUUAAAGGUGGGAAUUAAAAGCACCCAUUGUCCUAUGGGCUGGAGUGAGUCAUUUCUCCUGCUCUGAGAAGGUGCCUAAAAGCCUUGCUGUUUUCUGUAGCAUUCCUGGGGCUUCCCAUAGCCCACCAGCGUUCUCUUACGCUUUUCCCGAGUCUUGUAUUUUUUUAAGGCUACUCCUUAGCCUGCAAUUUUAUGUUAAUGUUCUCCUUAAGCACUGUGCACAGCACGAUUAUCCCAGGUCAGCCACAUUAACAGAGUCCUCUUGCACGCACAGAGGCUUCCAAGAGGUGGCUCAGAAGAAAAGAGAGAAAAGUCUGUUUGUCAGCUGUGCGCCCAUCCGUCAACAUUCUUCACCAAGAAGUGCUGUAAAUCCCUUUUUCUCUAAAGUGGGACUGAGUCAAAGGGGAGGCACAGAUCCCCCCCCAUAUUUAUUAGAACUUCUCACUGCUGUAGGCACUGGGUCUGGGAGUGGUUUUAGCAUUGCUUGGGGCUUUGGGACAUCAGGCUGCUGUGCCACUGCUGGAGACAUA